rnacentral:rRNA from 1 species
ACGGGAGGCGGCAGUGGGGAAUAUUGCACAAUGGGGGAAACCCUGAUGCAGCGACGCCGCGUGAGUGAUGAAGUAUUUCGGUAUGUAAAGCUCUAUCAGCAGGGAAGAUAAUGACGGUACCUGACUAAGAAGCACCGGCUAAAUACGUGCCAGCAGCCGCGGUACUACGUAUGGUGCAAGCGUUAUCCGGAUUUACUGGGUGUAAAGGGAGCGUAGGCGGUACGGCAAGUCUGAAGUGAAAUCCCAGGGCUCAACCUUGGAACUGCUUUGGAAACUGUCGAACUAGAGUGUCGGAGAGGUAAGUGGAAUUUCUAGUGUAGCGGUGAAAUGCGUAGAUAUUAGGAGGAACACCAGUGGCGAAGGCGGCUUACUGGACGAUUACUGACGCUGAGGCUCGAAAGCGUGGGGAGCAAACAGGAUUAGAUACCCUGGUA